rnacentral:lncRNA from 1 species
ACGCCCUGAUCACACGGUCAUGACUCAUCCACCAGACUUGAUAUCCUGUCUCCUUAGAACUCAAGGACACAGAGGUACGAGCCUAUAGAACAGAUCCUGUUCAAGUAAGGUCGUGGCUGCUUGGCCGUGCAUGCUUAAUAAGUAUCCUUCUUCCAUUACUUAAUUUUCCAAUGUGGGAUAAAGGAGCAAAAAGAAACAUGCUUUUCUUGCUCAGAAAUGUUGUCGUUUUCCCUUAAUCCUCAUACAAAACGUUUCUUUAACACUCACCACUAUUAGUUGUUUUUUCUUCUUUCUGCAGCUAACUGGCUAAGUACUCUGCCAUAACCUCACCCAAACAAACAUAUAACUGUCAGAGACUGCUUCCAACUCAUUGAGUUCCCCCAUUUUUCCAACUUCUAAGAAGCUUUUAAAAAAUUCCAAUGCAACAAAAUGGCAUUAAUCUUUCAAAGUUUUAGGCACCUUAAUCCAGAUAAUGUAAACUUCAUUUUCAGGUCUGAAAGAAAUUAAACACUUUCAACGUAUUAGAUUUCGUAUUUAUUUUUAUGUUAAAAACAUCAAAAUUAUUUUUCCCUAAAGAGCAAUUCAACAAAUUCAUUGUAAUUCGAGUUUGACCUACUUAUCCAGCUCAAUUCCUUGAUGAUGAUUCUAUCGGUCCAUCCCAGAUCGUAAUGCUUCAGAUUGGCAUUUUUUUCCAGCUAAGUUCAAAGACGAGAGAAGUUUGAGCUUUGAAGAUUAUUAUUGAACUCACAGAAAAACAUAAAUGAAUUUACAAUUUGAUAUCAGAAAACAUGCAAUGAGUAAUAACACUUUGGUUAAUUGUUUCUAAAGGUGAAAUGCAGAAAAAUCCAGCAAGACUUGCUCCACCACAAUACCACAGGCAAAUAUUCCAACAGCGAAAACUACGGGUCUUGCUCUCGAUAACUCAUUUCUAUCAGAAUCUUUGGAUUCUUGAUUGUGCACUGCCCACGCCAUAGCUGGCGGUAGAACUCCAUAUAGCAUUGUCAUACAGUAGCCCCCCUGCAUUAAUGUGUCAACAGGGUGACUUUGAAAUAUUGUUAAGUUUUCAUUACCUGAUGUAUGCUUAAACUUACAGCAAUAUCUGUGGCAGCGGAGAAUGCAUCGGGUACUGUUGUCGAGAUGAAGAGGGACGGGGUAACAACCAUUGCCAUUGCAGUGAAGCUGAUCUUAUUUCUUCCCCACCAGUUCCUCAGCCCGAAGAACUCUGUUGAUUCCUUUUAUGCAAAGGUAUUAAUGGUUUGGAACAAAAUGUAAGAGGAACUGAAACUUAAUUGGAAAAUAGACUCAAACCUACCUUAGACGUUUUUGUAGGGGAAGAGUUCCAUGACAAGCUUUUAAGCUGCUCCUUGAAGAAUUCUGAGAAGCCCAAGAGAGUGCCUAUUAGUGAAGUUCCUACCGCCAUAAGCGAAAAUGCCUCCACCAUUACUGAAACACCGCUCCAUCUCACCCUGAACGUAACUUUGAUAUCAAAUUUAGCACAAAAUAUAAACCAGAAAAAGAAUAGGCAAAUGAGUACAAACAAGCAUGAAAUUCAUUCUGACAGCAGUCUUGAGAUCAAAUUAAAAACUAAAUUCAGAGCCGGCAAAAUGGGAUUUAGAAGUCUGUCAGACAACCGAGUGACCACCCCAGCCGGUAACCCAGCUGAGAACGAUCCUCUACAGCCUCAACAACCCAAGGGUCGGUGACGGCCGUUACUCACGCUCUGAUCACACGGUCAUGAUUCAUCCACCAGACUUGAUAUCCUGUCUCCUUAGAACUCAAGGACACAGAGGUACGAGCCUAUAGAACAGAUCCUGUUCAAGUAAGGUCGUGCCUUUUUGGCAAGACACUGCUUAAUAAGAAGGCUUCUUUCAGUGCUUAAUUCUUCCAUGUGGGUUUCGAUAUGAACAUGGUGGCUUUUGCUAAUCUAUUUGCCUGUCUUGGGUUUAACAUUUUCCAUAUAUGAGAAUAUAAUAUUUAAU